rnacentral:snoRNA from 1 species
AUGUUCAUGAUGUAGAUACUUUCUUAAUAAAUCUAUAAAUCUCUCUCAUGCUUCAUACAAAGAUUCAUUUAAAAGUUGAGUAAAUGUGGUAAUAUCAUCCUUAACUU